CCUGGGGAUGGCAAUGAACAAAUGGACUAGAGGUCCCUGCCCUGUGAGCUUCCAUCCCAGUGGGGGCUGUAACAGGUCACACUGAGCCAACCUGAGUUCCUGAAAUGAAAACCACCUUCCCUCAGCUUGGCUUUCAGCUGAGUGACUCAGGAGCUGGCUCUGACACCCUGGCAGAAGAACUCAAAAGCCAGAAGUUUGGAAGAAACUUUAUUUUGGUAUCUGAGUGAGAAGGAAAUACCUGGUGCAACUCGUCAGCAUUCAAGAGGAAAACAGAGAGUAAUAAUAAUAAUAAAGGAUGGUAUCCUGGGUGAAGACAGAUAUUCUUGGAAGCAGUUGUACAACCUAAUGUCCACGAUCGAACACCACAAGAGAUGGACAACAAGGAAUGCACACAGCUCCCCUUCAACGCCACCUGCCUGGUUUUCAGGUCAGAAAACUGAAGCAGAAAAAGGAGAAAGGCUGGAGUUUUCAUGGCUGAAUUGCUGGUUAUUUUGAAAGCAUUACCACCUAGCUCUGGAGGGAAUUAUGUAUACUUACAGGGAUUCAGAGGUAGACAGUUACAGGGCCCUGCUAGAGCAAAAGAGCAAGACUUUUCUGCAACAUAUUUUUCAUCCUGACUUCAACUAUUUUGUUGUAACUUCAGGAUGAAAAAUAUUUACAAUAUUGAAGUAUCUAAAU